rnacentral:rRNA from 1 species
AUUGAACGCUGGCGGCAGGCCUAACACAUGCAAGUCGAGCGAGCGGCGGACGGGGGAGUAAUGUAUGGGGACUGCCCGAUAGCGGGGGAUAACUGGUGGAAACGGUAGCUAAUCCCGCAUACUAUCGGAUAACCCAUAUGGUAUUAGCUAGUAGGGGAGGUAAUGGCUCACCUAGGCGACGAUCCCUAGCUGGUCUGAGAGGAUGAUAAGCCACACUGGGACUGAGACACGGCCCAGACUCCUACGGAGGCAGCAGUGGGGAAUAUUGCACAAUGGGCGCAAGCCUGAUGCAGCCAUGCCGCGUGUAUGAAGAAGGCCCUAGGGUUGUAAAGUACUGUCAGUCGGGAGGCGUUACCGACAGAAGAAGCACCGGCUAACUCCGUGCCAGCAGCCGCGGUAAUAC